CCUACGGGUGGCUGCAGUGAGGAAUAUUGGUCAAUGGCCGGGAGGCUGAACCAGCCAAGUCGCGUGAGGGAAGACGGCCCUACGGGUUGUAAACCUCUUUUGUCAGGGAGCAAGGUGCAGGUCGGGACCUGCUGUGAGAGUACCUGAAGAAAAAGCAUCGGCUAACUCCGUGCCAGCAGCCGCGGUAAUACGGAGGAUGCGAGCGUUAUCCGGAUUUAUUGGGUUUAAAGGGUGCGCAGGCGGAGACACAAGUCAGCGGUAAAAUCGCGGGGCUCAACCCAGUAGGGCAAAAGAUACUGCAAAGCUAGAGUAUGACAGAGGCAAGUGGAACUACAUGUGUAGCGGUAAAAUGCGUAAAUAUAUGUAAGAACACCAGUGGCGAAGGCGGCUUGCUGGGUCGAUACUGACAUUGAGGCACGAAAGCGUGGGGAGCAAACAGGAUUAGAUACCCCAGUAGUC
rnacentral:rRNA from 1 species